CCUACGGGUGGCAGCAGUGAGGAAUAUUGGUCAAUGGUCGGGAGACUGAACCAGCCAAGCCGCGUGAGGGAUGAAGGUACAGAGUAUCGUAAACCUCUUUUGUCAGGGAACAAAGGCGGGGACGUGUCCCCGGAUGAGUGUACCUGAAGAAAAAGCAUCGGCUAACUCCGUGCCAGCAGCCGCGGUAAUACGGAGGAUGCGAGCGUUAUCCGGAUUUACUGGGUGUAAAGGGAGCGCAGACGGCAGGGCAAGUCUGAUGUGAAAGUCCGGGGCUCAACCCCGGGACUGCAUUGGAAACUGUCCGGCUAGAGUGCAGGAGAGGUAAGUGGAAUUCCUAGUGUAGCGGUGAAAUGCGUAGAUAUUAGGAGGAACACCAGUGGCGAAGGCGGCUUACUGGACUGUAACUGACGUUGAGGCUCGAAAGCGUGGGGAGCAAACAGGAUUAGAUACCCUAGUAGUC
rnacentral:rRNA from 1 species